CCCGCCAUCUUGAGCGUGGCGCGGGGUUCGCCUGAGCGCUCGCCCCGCUCCCUGCCCGCCCCCCGCGGCGGUGGUUGAUGCGAGCGGAGGGUGCCUGAAACUCUGCGAACAGCCGCAGUCUGACACACGCGCUUUUAUUAACUCUCCUGAAAAGGAGGAGCCAUCCAGAUCAAAGCCCAAUCAAAAUUUCAUUUGUAAAGUAAAACUGCAAGGCUUCGAAUAACACGUCUUUCCAUCUAUCAACAACAAGGAACGAGUUGGUUUUUGAAACAAGAAAGAGACAGAAAAAGAAGGAUUAUACAGAGAUCAUCUGACUUGGUUGUUGUCAUUUAACCCUUCAUGUCUUUAUUUAUAGUGACUGCUAAUUAUUAUUCUCAUCCACAGUCCAUGAUCAUGAGUAAAAUAGUUCUUAACCACUGAAA